rnacentral:rRNA from 1 species
CAACGAGCGCAACCCUUAUCCUUUGUUGCCAGCGGUUAGGCCGGGAACUCAAAGGAGACUGCCAGUGAUAAACUGGAGGAAGGUGGGGAUGACGUCAAGUCAUCAUGGCCCUUACGACCAGGGCUACACACGUGCUACAAUGGCAUAUACAAAGAGAAGCGACCUCGCGAGAGCAAGCGGACCUCAUAAAGUAUGUCGUAGUCCGGAUUGGAGUCUGCAACUCGACUCCAUGAAGUCGGAAUCGCUAGUAAUCGUAGAUCAGAAUGCUACGGUGAAUACGUUCCCGGGCCUUGUACACACCGCCCGUCACACCAUGGGAGUGGGUUGCAAAAGAAGUAGGUAGCUUAACCUUCGGGAGGGCGCUUACCACUUUGUGAUUCAUGACUGGGGUGAAGUCGUAACAAGGUAACCGUAGGGGAACCUGCGGUUGGAUCACCUCCUU